AGAGUUUGAUCCUGGCUCAGGACGAACGCUGGCGGCGCGCCUAACACAUGCAAGUCGAACGGAGUCAAGAGGAGCUUGCUUUUCUUGACUUAGUGGCGAACGGGUGAGUAACGCGUGAGUAACCUGCCCUGGAGUGGGGGACAACAGUUGGAAACGACUGCUAAUACCGCAUAAGCCCACGGCCCGGCAUCGGGCUGAGGGAAAAGGAUUUAUUCGCUUCAGGAUGGACUCGCGUCCAAUUAGCUAGUUGGUGAGGUAACGGCCCACCAAGGCGACGAUUGGUAGCCGGACUGAGAGGUUGAACGGCCACAUUGGGACUGAGACACGGCCCAGACUCCUACGGGAGGCAGCAGUGGGGAAUAUUGCACAAUGGGGGAAACCCUGAUGCAGCGACGCCGCGUGGAGGAAGAAGGUUUUCGGAUUGUAAACUCCUGUCGUUAGGGACGAUAAUGACGGUACCUAACAAGAAAGCACCGGCUAACUACGUGCCAGCAGCCGCGGUAAAACGUAGGGUGCAAGCGUUGUCCGGAAUUACUGGGUGUAAAGGGAGCGCAGGCGGACCGGCAAGUUGGAAGUGAAAACUAUGGGCUCAACCCAUAAAUUGCUUUCAAAACUGCUGGCCUUGAGUAGUGCAGAGGUAGGUGGAAUUCCCGGUGUAGCGGUGGAAUGCGUAGAUAUCGGGAGGAACACCAGUGGCGAAGGCGACCUACUGGGCACCAACUGACGCUGAGGCUCGAAAGCAUGGGUAGCAAACAGGAUUAGAUACCCUGGUAGUCCAUGCCGUAAACGAUGAUUACUAGGUGUUGGAGGAUUGACCCCUUCAGUGCCGCAGUUAACACAAUAAGUAAUCCACCUGGGGAGUACGACCGCAAGGUUGAAACUCAAAGGAAUUGACGGGGGCCCGCAC
rnacentral:rRNA from 1 species